GCGCUCUUGGCGUAGUGGUAGCGCGUGUCUCUCCUACUAUUUGUCUCUCCAAGAGCGUAGGAUCACUUCCAAGACGAGGUCGUGGGUUCGACCCCCACAGGGCGCU